CUCCCGCUCCCGCUCCCGCUCCGGCCCCGCUCCUCCGGAAGCCCCAUAGCGUCAAGUUCCGAGCGCCGUAGCAGCCUUUGCGGGAAAAACUCCUCCCAAGACGUUGAGGGCUCUGCCUGGGGACAGGAUGCCCUCUCUGCUAACCUUGGGGCCAGCUCAGAAUUUUCUGCCACCUCUGAAGAUAUGUCUUCACUCUCCCUGCCUCCACAAAUUCCCAUAUAGAUCUCAAGUACAAGACGCAAGUGAAGACUAGGAGGGGCUUUUAGGUCUUUGCUAAUAAACACAUCUCCUCAUUA